AGAACGAACGCUGGCGGCAUGCCUAACACAUGCAAGUCGAACGUGAUCCAUGACUUCGGUUGUGGUGAAAGUGGCAAACGGGUGAGUAACGCGUGGGAAUCUGCCCAGAGGUAGGGAAUAACCGCGGGAAACUGCGGCUAAUACCCUAUGUGCCCUACGGGGCAAAGAUUUAUCGCCUUUGGAGGAGCCCGCGUCGGAUUAGGUAGUUGGUAGGGUAACGGCCUACCAAGCCUACGAUCCGUAGCUGGUCUGAGAGGAUGAUCAGCCACACUGGGACUGAGAUACGGCCCAGACUCCUACGGGAGGCAGCAGUGGGGAAUAUUGGACAAUGGGGGCAACCCUGAUCCAGCAAUGCCGCGUGAGUGAUGAAGGCCUUCGGUUGUAAAGCUCUUUCGGCGGGGAAGAUGAUGACGGUACCCGCAGAAGAAGCCCCGGCUAACUUCGUGCCAGCAGCCGC
rnacentral:rRNA from 1 species